UAAAAAAAUUAUAAAAAAAAAAGCAACAAUCUUUUAGUUACGGAUAAAACACUAUAUCAGGAAACGAAACACGAAUCUGCUAAAAUCCGUGCAUAAUUCACAUAAACCUAAUCCAUAACACAAAAUUAAAAAAGAACAUAAACAAUACAAGCACACCAGGAUUAUACCCAAAACUCAACAGAUAUCAAUGGAUAAUUCAGCUAUUAAAUAUAAGAGAAAGAAUAACAAUACUAACAUGAAAGAGACGAAGCGAAUAAAG
rnacentral:misc_RNA from 1 species